GUUAGGAAUAUUGGACAAUGGGCGAAAGCCUGAUCCAGCCAUGCCGCGUGUGUGAAGAAGGCCUUAGGGUUGUAAAGCACUUUCAUCUGCGAAGAUAAUGACAGUAACAGAAGAAGAAGCUCCGGCUAAAUUCGUGCCAGCAGCCGCGGUAAUACGAAUGGAGCGAGCGUUGUUCGGAAUCACUGGGCGUAAAGCGUGCGCAGGCGGUCAUGAAAGUUAGAAGUGAAAUCCCAGGGCUUAACCUUGGAAUGGCUUUUAAAACUCCAUGACUGGAGUACUGGAGAGGUUGGCGGAAUUCCGAGUGUAGAGGUGAAAUUCGCAGAUAUUCGGAGGAACACCAAUGGCGUAGGCAGCCAACUGGACAGUAACUGACGCUCAUGCACGAAAGCGUGGGGAGCAAACAGGAUUAGAAACCCCUGUAGUCC
rnacentral:rRNA from 1 species